rnacentral:lncRNA from 1 species
AACCUCAGGGUGAUAACCUGGAGACUUUAGUUCCUCGACACACAUCAGUGCUUCCUCCAAAACUCGGAUGUUGAAAUAUUCCUCCAGUAAUGAGAUUGUCUUUCUACGGAGUUCAUCCAGAUUCAACUUUCCAGCAGGGCGAAGUGGUUUCUCCACAACUGCAGGCACGGGGGAAGAAGUAACAGGUUUAGAAGGUAUAGGGAGUUGGGACGUAGGCUCUGGGCCUGGAAUAAAGUUGGAUGGUCGUGGAGGAGGGGUCCCACUGCCCUGCAACAGAGCACUCCUAGCACCCAUAGGACCACCAGUACCCUGAGGUAACAGCCUAGUGUUCAGUGAUGAAGACUUAUUAAUCAUUGGUGACUGCACACGUCCUCCAGGCUGCAUUCCUGAUCCAUCGCCCCUAGGAAUUGACCGCUGCCUAGGAAAUUCCCAAUUAUCAUUAUCUAUUCCAG